CCACACUGACGCACAUUAGUUAUAGAGUUAAUACCAGCCAGUGAACUGUGAAACCCCCUUAUUGCCCUCAUGCCACUUCUGGAGAAGAGAAAGGGAAUUUCAAAGCAUUAUCUGGGGAAACCUCUGUUUGGAGCAUGUCCCCAGUAUCUGAAAUAACUAAUGAGAAGAAUGUACUAAACCAUUUCAUGCAGAAAAUUUCAUUCUUCAAAUAUGCAAGAGGAAGACCUAGAAAGAAAUUGGCAGUGAGGUUCUGGGGUAUCUGUGACACUGGAGGGCAGAGCCCACCUUCAGGAGCUACAACAUGCCACUGGAUAAUAGUGGAGAAGAAUCCAGCUUUGCUUGUUGAGAUCCUCAGAGCUGACCCCAGCAAGCAUCCCCAGCUGUGAUAACUCCUAUUACUAACACGGGCUUUCUCAGAUGCAGAAACCUGAAGCCUACACAGACCCACCAGCCAGCAAAAGCAGAAAAGCUAGUUUCACUCAAACUCUGGUUUCACUGGUAAAUCUAAUUGUGUGCAUUUGUUGUCUUCAAGUCUUCAAAACGUACACUCUUCGUUGGUAAUAGUGAAAAUUUUUCAUGUGCAGGAGGAGAAUAAACUUUUUUUUCUUUUAAUAAAAUACUACACAGAAUCAAUGCAUAACAUAACAUGCAUUGACAUUAAGAAAUCUCAAAAAUAAUAUUAAGUGAAACACUAAGUUGCAAAAGAAUAUCACUUUCAUAAAUCAAAAACAGCCAGAGCAAUGCUAUUGCAUUGCAGUAAAGGUACAAAAAUACACAUACAUAGGAUAAAACACCAACUUCAGAAUACUGAUCACUUCCGGGCACAGAGGAGGCACAACAAUUAGCUGAAUUUAUCAUUUCUCAAUCAACUAAAGUCCGGGUCGACUAUGGCAAGAUUACUUUUUAUAUCUAGAUGCUAUUUUAUGGUAAUAUCAUUAUGCAUACUCUUCUAUAUGUCUGAUAUUUCUCAUGUUAUAAAUAAUUCUAUGUGAAAAUUUUUUAUGUGAUUUUUAAAUGAUUACUUAAAGAUGACUCAUACUACAGUCCCUGGCCAGGAAACCAGUUAGAGCUUAACUGCAUGAACUGAGAUGGUGCUGCUUUUUCUCCACAAGAGGAGUUGUAACCUCAUCUUCACCCUGUGUCACAACCCUUCUCCAUCCCCCUUGGUUUAGACUACGAGCUAAUACUUGAGGACAUGUUCCAAACACUGCAAACAUAUCACAGUUUAUGUCCUUGGUGAUAGGCUCAAAAACCAUACAAUAUGCAAAUGAUUUGGGAAAAUAAAGUAUAAAUGUACAGACAGAAAAUGAUUUAUAGAUCUUCAACAAAUGGGCAAAUUAAAAGGGAAAAAUUGUUUUCUCCAUAAAUUAAAAUGUAUGUUCAAAUACAAAUAAUGUUUAAAAACCCAAAUAAUAAAAUAUAAAAAAAAUAAAACCCAAAUUAAAACACCAA